UGAUGAUAACAAUGAUGAUGAUGAUGAUGAUGAUGAUGACGUCCUCCCCAUCCCCAUCAUCUUGCCAUCAGUCUCGUCAUCAUCAUCAUCAUCAUCACCAUCACCCUAA
rnacentral:pre_miRNA from 1 species